GCCGUUAUGGUGAAAUGGUAGACACAUGACUUUCAAAAAGUCACGGAGAAAUCCAUGUCGGUUCAAGUCCGACUAACGGCA
rnacentral:tRNA from 1 species